ACGCGGAUCGGUUUCAUUCCACAGCCGGGCAGAAAGUCAACUCGCAACUGUUUUUAUUCACGACAUAGACGUUUUUUUUAAUACCUCACAAGAUCGGGGAGGAUGUUGUUGGCAAGUUCCAUGCACUGCACAGACCAACCGCCUCCCAAUCAUGACGUUUGAGGGUAAACCGGCCUGGGAGCUGGGAGACCAGACAAGGAUUUUCUGCCCAGAGCCAGUGACUCAGAGCCCCCCCUGACUGCUGAGAAACGGACGUCCCGCUGACCAGGGACAUGUCACAUGAAAGGGCCCACAGCCUCCGUUGUUUACUGGGCGCAUUGCUGUACUCCGCAGCCUGCCAGCUCAGAAGACAAUGGUAACAUGAAGCAGGUCUGAUAGUCAUCUCUGGCUGGUACGCCGUUCCUAAAGCGUUCCCCCUUUUCUUCCCCUUGGA